rnacentral:rRNA from 1 species
AGAGUUUGAUCCUGGCUCAGGACGAACGCUGGCGGCGUGCCUAAUACAUGCAAGUCGAGCGAGCUGAAUUCAAAGAUCCCUUCGGGGUGAUUUGUUGGACGCUAGCGGCGGAUGGGUGAGUAACACGUGGGCAAUCUGCCCUAAAGACUGGGAUACCACUUGGAAACAGGUGCUAAUACCGGAUAACAACAUGAAUCGCAUGAUUCAAGUUUGAAAGGCGGCGCAAGCUGUCACUUUAGGAUGAGCCCGCGGCGCAUUAGCUAGUUGGUGGGGUAAAGGCCUACCAAGGCAAUGAUGCGUAGCCGAGUUGAGAGACUGAUCGGCCACAUUGGGACUGAGACACGGCCCAAACUCCUACGGGAGGCAGCAGUAGGGAAUCUUCCACAAUGGACGCAAGUCUGAUGGAGCAACGCCGCGUGAGUGAAGAAGGUCUUCGGAUCGUAAAGCUCUGUUGUUGGUGAAGAAGGAUAGAGGCAGUAACUGGUCUUUAUUUGACGGUAAUCAACCAGAAAGUCACGGCUAACUACGUGCCAGCAGCCGCGGUAAUACGUAGGUGGCAAGCGUUGUCCGGAUUUAUUGGGCGUAAAGCGAGCGCAGGCGGAAUGAUAAGUCUGAUGUGAAAGCCCACGGCUCAACCGUGGAACUGCAUCGGAAACUGUCAUUCUUGAGUGCAGAAGAGGAGAGUGGAACUCCAUGUGUAGCGGUGGAAUGCGUAGAUAUAUGGAAGAACACCAGUGGCGAAGGCGGCUCUCUGGUCUGCAACUGACGCUGAGGCUCGAAAGCAUGGGUAGCGAACAGGAUUANNUACCCUGGUAGUCCAUGCCGUAAACGAUGAACNNNNNGUGNNGGGGNNCUUUCCGGUUCUCANNGCCCNNNCAAACGCGUUAANNNNUNCNNCUGGGGNANNNNNACCGCNAGGUNNAACCCGCACACUGCGAAACUUUGUUCAGUUUUCAAAGUACCAACUUGCGUCAAGUGACGCAACGUUUUAUAUCUUACUCGCUUGUUGGCUUCUUGUCAACAAGUUUUCGAUAUUUUUUUGCCUUCAAUUGCCUUUCUUUACGAAAGCGCUUCUUGCUUGCAUUGAAGACAUUUACUACUUUACCUUGUUUUUUCUUUUUCGUCAACUUUUGCCUUUUAAUUGUCUUUUCUGCCAAACGCCAGGAGGUGUUGUAAAGGUUGUUUCCUUUUUGUUUUUCAAAAUCCUCGCGCACUUUUGGAAAAAUUGCUUUUUCGAAAAAAUUGUUCGGAUUUUAUAUCUUUUCUAGGUUAAAUGCAUAAAAAGUUUUUUGAAAUUUUUUGUUUUUUCAACUUUUUUACGGGUUGAAAGUAAAAAAGGAGCAGCCAAAUGACUGCUUCUUGCUUAUUUUAGGUAUUGCACGGUGAUCUCGCUGGCGUUGAUCAAGAGCAUCUGGCAAUUUGCUGGGCACUAAGGCGGAGAUAUUGCUCGGUUUGCUUAAGGUCAAAGUAGCUUGCCUCACCCUGGUCAACCUUUUUAGCAAAGGCCUGCAGCCGCUUGGCAAUUUCUGAUUCCGGCUUGUUCCAUUCAUUAACGAUCUGCUUAAAGACUGCCGGUGCCCGCUUGACUUCUUUCUGAAAUUCUUCGUUGACAUAAAGCAAGCGGAAAUGGCUGCCAUUGUCUAGGCAGGUCGGCUUGUCGCUGGCCAAGUCCACCAGGCCAACACACUGGUAGAACUUGCUCUGCUGCCA